CAGCAGCCGCGGUAAUACAGAGGGUGCGAGCGUUAAUCGGAUUUACUGGGCGUAAAGCGUGCGUAGGCGGCUUCUUAAGUCGGAUGUGAAAUCCCUGAGCUUAACUUAGGAAUUGCAUUCGAUUCUGGGAAGCUAGAGUAUGGGAGAGGAUGGUAGAAUUCCAGGUGUAGCGGUGAAAUGCGUAGAGAUCUGGAGGAAUACCGAUGGCGAAGGCAGCCAUCUGGCCUAAUACUGACGCUGAGGUACGAAAGCACGGGGAGCAAACAGGAUUAGAUACCCCGGUAGUCCCUGUCUCUUAUAC
rnacentral:rRNA from 1 species